rnacentral:rRNA from 1 species
GAUGAACGCUGGCGGCGUGCCUAAUACAUGCAAGUCGAGCGAACAGACGAGGAGCUUGCUCCUCUGACGUUAGCGGCGGACGGGUGAGUAACACGUGGAUAACCUACCUAUAAGACUGGGAUAACUUCGGGAAACCGGAGCUAAUACCGGAUAAUAUAUUUAACCGCAUGGUUCAAUAGUGAAAGACGGUUUUGCUGUCACUUAUAGAUGUAUCCGCGCCGCAUUAGCUAGUUGGUAAGGUAACGGCUUACCAAGGCAACGAUGCGUAGCCGACCUGAGAGGGUGAUCGGCCACACUGGAACUGAGACACGGUCCAGACUCCUACGGGAGGCAGCAGUAGGGAAUCUUCCGCAAAGGGCGAAAGCCUGACGGAGAAACGCCGCGUGAGUGAUGAAGGUCUUCGGAUCGUAAAACUCUGUUAUUAGGGAAGAACAAAUGUGUAAGUAACUAUGCACGUAUUGACGGUACCUAAUCAGAAAGCCACGGCUAACUACGUG